GUCGGGAUACUGGCCGGUGAAGAUCGUGGGCCGGCUCGGCACACA
rnacentral:sRNA from 5 species